GACGAACGCUGGCGGCGUGCCUAACACAUGCAAGUCGAGCGGGGAUGUGGAUUAGCUUGCUAAGAAGCAUUCUAGCGGCGGACGGGUGAGUAACGCGUGAGCAACCUGCCUCAAACAGGGGGAUAACGCAUCGAAAGAUGUGCUAAUACCGCGUAAGACCACAGCUUCACAUGGAGCAGGGGUCAAAGGAGCAAUCCGGUUUGAGAUGGGCUCGCGUCCGAUUAGCUAGUUGGUGAGAUAACAGCCCACCAAGGCGACGAUCGGUAGCCGACCUGAGAGGGUGAUCGGGCCACAUUGGAACUGAGAUACGGUCCAGACUCCUACGGGAGCAGCAGUGGGGAAUAUUGGGCAAUGGGCGAAAGCCUGACCCAGCAACGCCGCGUGAGGGAAGAA
rnacentral:rRNA from 1 species